CCCUUAGAUGUUCUGGGCCGCACGCGUGCUACACUGAGUGGAUCAGCGGGUCAGGUUGCGCGAAAGUGUUUCCUAAUCUUUAAAUCCGCUCGUGAUGGGGAUUGACGGUUGCAAUUUUCUGUCAUGAACGAGGAAUACCUUGUAAGCGCGGGUCAUCAUCCCGCGCUGAAUACGUCCCUGCCCUUUGUACACACCGCCCGUCGCUCCUACCGAUUGAGUGGUCCGGUGAGGCUUUGGGAUCUGAGCGGAAAGAGCGUUUCGCUGUUUCUGCCCGGAAAACUCAGUCGAACCUUAUCAUUUAGAGGAAGGAGAAGUCGUAACA
rnacentral:rRNA from 1 species